UACAGAGGUCUCAAGCGUUGUUCGGAAUCAUUGGGCCUAAAGCAUUCGUAGCCGGUUUAAAAAAUCCUUUGUGAAAUCGUUGAACUCAAUACAACGGCAUGCAGGGGACACUUUUAGACUAGAGACUGGGAGGAGUUGGGGGUAUUUCUAGGGGAGCGGUUAAAUGUGAUAAUCCUAGAAAGACCACCUGUGGCGAAGGCGCCCAACUAGAACAGUUCUGACGGUGAGGGAUGAAAGCUAGGGGAGCGAUCCG
rnacentral:rRNA from 1 species